rnacentral:misc_RNA from 1 species
UCUAAGGAUCAUGGCGGUAGGAAUAGGUCACGCUUUCCUCCUCCUGUCCAAAGAACAUUGCCGCCGUCCUCAUGUCCCUUCAUCCUGGAAACGCUUCUCGUUAAGAGGAGUGCAGCCUGAGCUGGCUCACGCCGCCCGCGGCCUUAUGGCCGGCGACGGCACUGGGGGCCGGUAGCUCAGGUGGUUAGAGCGCACGCCUGAUAAGCGUGAGGUCGAAGGUUCAACUCCUUCUCGGCCCACCACUGCAGCACCGCUAAGUUCACGAAGUGGACGAAGUGGAAGGACCCCCGAUUUCACUCGGCGUGGGGCCAUAGCUCAGUUGGGAGAGCGCUAGCUUUGCAAGCUUGAGGUCGUCGGUUCGAUCCCGACUGGCUCCACCACUUUCCAGGGAUGAAGACACGAAAUCCGCGGGUUCGCCUGCGGUAGAGGCCUCGGCCUCAUCUUUGACAUUGUGAAUGGGUUCUAGAAAUCGAUGCCGUGGUUGGCGAUCGACGUAAGUCGGUCGAUCAAAUCACAACAAUGAUUAUCUAGCUGAGAGAUCCAGGCGGCGCCGAGCCGUGCUGGAUCACGAGCACGGCCGGGUAUUAUGUACCGGUCGGAGCUCAAACCAGAUCACCGAUAUAUCGACGCCUGUCCAUGCAAGCAGGCCAAGACCUCUAACAGGGUUGUCGAUGGUGGUGUGGAUUCUCAAGCGUGAGGUAAGGGCAAUUGGUGGAUGCCUUGGCAUACACAGGCGAUGAAGGACGUGGCACGCUGCGAUAAGCUGCGGUGAGGUGUGAGCGACCUUUGACCCGCACAUUUCAGAAUCGGGAAACCCGGAAGCCGAAAUCGAGCACACUGCCGCUGGGUACGUAUGGGAUCGAGUCGUACACCUGGUUGCCA